rnacentral:rRNA from 1 species
UACAGAGGUGGCAAGCGUUGUUCGGAAUUACUGGGCGUAAAGGGCGCGUAGGCGGUCUUUUAAGUCUCGUGUGGAAUCCCUCGGCUCAACUGAGGAACUGCACGGGAUACUGGAUGACUUGAGUUCGGGAGAGGGAAGCGGAAUUCCGGGUGUAGCGGUGAAAUGCGUAGAUAUCCGGAGGAACACCGGUGGCGAAGGCGGCUUCCUGGACCGACACUGACGCUGAGGCGCGAAAGCUAGGGGAGCAAACGGG